rnacentral:rRNA from 1 species
AAUUAAAUUAAAAAGAGGAACGAAUGGCAAGCUAGGGUGCACUAAUAAGACGGAAAGCCCGAAAAGACGAGGGAGAAGUUUUGAACUCGGAUAUCUUCGCGGAAACGCAGAGAAAUAAACUGGAAACUGAAACAUCUAAGUACCAGAGCCGAUUGGCACAGAGAAAUCAAACGAGCUUCCGUGAGUAGCGGCGAGCGAAAGCGGAAAAGUCCUCAAUGAGUUAGUAAUGGAAGAUAGGUGUCUACACAUCUAAGACUAAAUGUUAGUGCACACCGAAAGAGAGAGUACUGUGAAGGAAGGCUGAAAGAGACUUGAAAAGAUCUUAAAAUAAGUUCCCUUAAGCAGACAUAUUAUGUCGUACCUUUUGUAUAAUGGGUUCGCAAGGAAAAAUUUGGCAAACUUAAGUUUAGAGACGAAGGUGUAGUGAAAUCAAGGGGGAAUCUCCUCUUCAAGUCAAAUUACCCGAAACCAAGUGACCUAGCCCUGGGUAGUUCAAAGGAACGAACCGUUGAUUGUAGCAAAAAUCUCGGAUGACCUGUGGCUAGGGGUGAAAGACUAAUCAAACUUGGAGAUAGCUGGUUUUCUGCGAAAACUAUUGAAGUAGUGCGUCCAAGUAACUUAAUUUUAUAUGAUAAAGCUCAAUCGCUCGGAGAGCGAUUAACUCUGAAUGUAAAAAAUUAAGGUGGAUAGACAGACAGUGGGCGAUAAGGUCAAUUGUCAAAAGGGGUAAGCCCUAAUCAGAAGUUAAAGCCACAGAUCAAAGUUUUUUAUCAAGUGUGAAAGGGAUGUGGAAUUUAGACAAUGAGGAAGUAGGCUUGGAACCAGCCAUCUUUGAAAGAUGACGUAAAAGUUCACUCAAGAAAUUCUUUUAUCCCUAAAAUUAUGGUGGCUAAAGUUGAGCUGAAACUCUGAGAGCAAAGUAUUAUUUGCUCGGUAGCAGAACGAACUGUAAUAUUGGUUCGGCGAGAGCCCAACCAUCAGAAGUGAUAAUGCGAACAUGAGUAAAAAAUCGUUGGAUCACUCCCCCAAGGCUCCAAUUAUAAAUUGGGUUAUACAGCCCCUAAGAUAGUAACCCUCUGGUUGCGUCAAUGGGUCUUAUAAAAAACGCACGAAGUGCCAGGAAAGAUUUAUAAAUUUUUACUGUACUAGUCUAACGCAAGUGGGGUGAAGUGAGGAGAGAACUUCUCUUAAGGAACUCGGCAAAAUUUGGGCUUCGACUGUUUACCAAAAACAUAGCUCUCUGCUAAAGCUAAAUGCUGAAGUAUGGAGGGUGAGGCCUGCCCAAUGGUUGUAUCUAAAAGAGUUGGCUAAGGUCAACUUCAUAAGGGCAAUUGAAUGGCCGCGGUAACACUGACCGUGAUAAUGUAGCGUAAUCAAUAGCCAAUUAAUUGUUGGCCGGUAUGAAUGGCGUCACGAAGGCCCCACUGUCUUAAGAGGACUCUCCAUGAAAUUGAAUUCGUAGUGAAGAUGCUACGUCCAUAUUGUAAGACGAAAAGACCCCAUUGAGCUUUACUAAAGACUUGCAUGGCUCAAAAUAAUUUGACUUAAAUAAAGAGUUUAGAUAAUGUGGGACCCGUUUUCGGUUAAUGAAACACCACUCUUUUAUUUUAAGAGAGCUAACAUUACAGGGAUAGUGUAAGUUGGAUAGUUUGGUUGGGGCGACCACCUUUUAAAAGGUAACGAAGGUGAGCUUAAGGUCCGUAGUUAAUAGCCGGUGGCCUGACUGCAAGGGGGACGUCUCGAGCAGACACGUCCUUAGGGAUGUGGACUAUAGUGACCCGUCAUCUUAGUGUGGAAUAGUUGACGAUCAACGAAUAAAAGCUACCAUGGGGAUAACAGCGUUAUAUCGUUAGAGAGUUUUCAUCGACGACGAUGUUUGCGACCUCGAUGUUGAAUUGCGGCACCCUGGGGUGCAGCCGCCCCCAAGGGUUGGUCUGUUCGUCCAUUAAAGCCGUACAUGAUUUGAGUUAAAAGCGUGGCAACACAGCUUGGUUUCUAUCUACAAUAUGAAGAAACAUCAAUAUAAUUAUCUUCUAGUACGAAAGGACCGAAGAAUUAGCGAUCCUCUUAUUUUUACAAGUUACGAUCGAUCCAUUGGCCCCCUAGUCCGAGGCCUCAUAGUUAAUCACUGAUUGCCUCUUAAGUGUGAAAAUUAUAUUGAACUGUUUGAUGUAAAGUAAAAUUAUAAUUAUG